rnacentral:lncRNA from 1 species
UUAGCCCUUGCCUCGUUCGUCUUAAACAAAAACAGGAAUGGUUUUGACUUUACUUCAUAAUUGUAAACAAAUAAUACUAUGACAUACAAGAAAAUUAAAAAUCUAUUUGACUUUUUUUAUAAUCCGGCAAACCAAGGUCCACCCGACUAGUUACUUAGGAAUCAUUUUAUCAUUGUUAAAAAACCUGACUGUUCUCAAAAAAUAAUUAUAUAUCUAUGUCGACUGAUAGCACAAACAGAUAAAUCUGAAUUUGACAUGAUUUGAUUCUAGAAUGCUUAACACAUUUCCAAAAAAAAAAAAACACUGUAGCAGUCUGCUACGGAUGUGUGACUCGGUAAAGUAUAGUAGUAUACGUUACUUACGUUACGGCUUACGAACUCAGUGACUGCACGACAAUAUCGUAUAAAAUACGUUAGAAAUUUUCAACGACAAUUAAAUAUAUAAUUUAGCAGACAAAUUAUAUUGAUUUUUAAGGUACGAUAAAAGUAUCCAAAUCUCCGGUAUAUGUGACGUUGCAUGCAUUAGACAGAAAUUAAACUAUUACUUUGAGAAAAAAAACAAAUGUAGAACGAUUCUAGGCGAUUUCGAAUAACUCGGUUUUUAUUUUUUAAACGUUCAUUUCACGGUGUCUAGGACGACGUUCGGCACGUAAAGAACCAUGUUUUCCAUAUGAUCUCAGGCACAUAUCAUGGACAAUUGGACACGUAUUUUAUUUUUAUUUUUGAGUUGAAUAUACUUCUUAAAACAAAUAUAUUAACGAUAGCUCGAAAUUUAUAAUAUAUGUUUAAUGGUUUUUAAAUUUCCAAGAAAUGUUAUCUAAGAAACUAGCCUAAAACACAAAGUGGGCGGCUGGACUAAGUUUUAUGAUAAAAUAAAGAACGUAGAUUUAAAAAGUAUAGUUUCAGCAUGAAAUUUAUCGAUAUCUUAUGAGUCGUCAAAUUAUUUUAACAAACCUACUUAUCAUAACAGAAAAAAGGAUCACUGAUCUUUACAUUUGACUGCAAAAUUAAUAAUUUGUACGUUCAAACAGAACAAGAUAAAAAAUUAUACCUAAGACACGUUAUAGCUAAUUUAACUAUUUGGCCUUUCGUUGACAAAAAAAAAAAACUAUUUGGCCUUUCAUUCCAUUUCCACUAGUUAAUUGAACUUUUCACAUGAACUGGAGACCUAAUGAAUAAAAUGAGCAUAUUCUUUUUAGGUUUAUCCUAAUUGUAAUUUUAUACCGUUACGACAAUUCACAAUAAUGUUAUUC